UACAGAGGUGGCAAGCGUUGUUCGGAAUUACUGGGCGUAAAGGGCGCGUAGGCGGCCUUCUAAGUCAGACGUGAAAUCCCCCGGCUUAACCUGGGAACUGCGUCUGAUACUGGGAGGCUUGAGUAUGGGAGAGGGAUGUAGAAUUCCAGGUGUAGCGGUGAAAUGCGCAGAUAUCGGGAGGAACACCAGUAGCGAAGGCGGCUCGCUGGGCCAUUCCUGACGCUGAGACGCGAAAGCUAGGGGAGCGAACAGG
rnacentral:rRNA from 1 species